rnacentral:rRNA from 1 species
GUUUGAUCAUGGCUCAGAAUGAACGUUGGCGGCGUGGAUUAGGCAUGCAAGUCGCGCGAGAAGUUUCCUUCGGGAGACGGACAGCGGCGGAAGGGAGAGGAAUAAGUAGAAAUCUGCCCUCGGGACGGGGAUAGCGGCGGGAAACUGCCGGUAAUACCCGAUAACAUCUUUGGAUCAAAUGGUGUGAUUCCGCCUGAGGAUGAGUCUACUUCCUAUUAGCUAGUUGGUGUGGUAAUGGCUCACCAAGGCAACGAUGGGUAGCGGGUGUGAGAGCACGAUCCGCCUCACUGGGACUGAGACACUGCCCAGACACCUACGGGUGGCUGCAGUCGAGAAUCUUCGGCAAUGGGGGAAACCCUGACCGAGCGACGCCGCGUGCGGGAUGAAGGCCCUCGGGUUGUAAACCGCUGUCGUAAGGGAACAAAUCUAAGAGGGUACUCCCUUUUAGUUGAGUGAUCUUAGGAGGAAGGACGGGCUAAGUUCGUG